rnacentral:rRNA from 1 species
GACGAACGCUGGCGGCGUGCCUAACACAUGCAAGUCGAGCGAAGUGCUUUAAGCGGAAUCUUCGGAGGAAGCUUAAAGUAUCUUAGCGGCGGACGGGUGAGUAAUGCGUGAGGAACCUGCCUUUCACAAGGGGAUAGCCUCGGGAAACUGGGAUUAAUACCCUAUGACACCUAAGUAUCGCAUGAUACUUAGGUUAAAGCGCAAAGCGGUGGAAGAUGGCCUCACGUCCCAUUAGCUAGUUGGUGAGGUAAAGGCUCACCAAGGCAACGAUGGGUAGCCGGCCUGAGAGGGUGACCGGCCACACUGGAACUGAGACACGGUCCAGACUCCUACGGGAGGCAGCAGUGAGGAAUCUUGGGCAAGUGGGCGAAAGCCUGACCCAGCGACGCCGCGUGGAGGAAGAAGGUCUUCGGAUCGUAAACUCCUGUUCGGGAGAAGAACAAGAGAGAAGUUAAUAGCUUCUCUCUCUGACGGUAUCCCCGGAGAAACGCUCCGGCUAAUUACGUGCC